rnacentral:rRNA from 1 species
UACGGGAGGCAGCAGUGGGGAAUAUUGCACAAUGGGCGCAAGCCUGAUGCAGCCAUGCCGCGUGUAUGAAGAAGGCCUUCGGGUUGUAAAGUACUUUCAGUCGUGAGGAAGGUGUUAAGGUUAAUAACCUUAGCAAUUGACGUUAGCGACAGAAGAAGCACCGGCUAACUCCGUGCCAGCAGCCGCGGUAAUACGGAGGGUGCGAGCGUUAAUCGGAAUUACUGGGCGUAAAGGGCACGCAGGCGGUUAAUUAAGUUGGAUGUGAAAUCCCCGGGCUUAACCUGGGAAUGGCAUUCAAGACUGGUUAGCUAGAGUCUUGUAGAGGGGGUUAGAAUUCCAUGUGUAGCGGUGAAAUGCGUAGAGAUGUGGAGGAAUACCGGUGGCGAAGGCGGCCCCUGGACAAAGGACUGACGCUCAUGUGCGAAAGCGUGGGGUAGCAAACAGGGAUUAGAUACC